GACGAACGCUGGCGGCGUGCUUAACACAUGCAAGUCGAACGGAAAGGCCCUGCUUUUGUGGGGUGCUCGAGUGGCGAACGGGUGAGUAACACGUGAGUAACCUGUCCCUGACUUUGGGAUAACUUCAGGAAACUGGGGCUAAUACCGGCUAGGAGCUCCUGCUGCAUGGUGGGGGUUGGAAAGUUUCGGCGGUUGGGGAUGGACUCGCGGCUUAUCAGCUUGUUGGGGGGGUAGUGGCUUACCAAGGCUUUGACGGGUAGCCGGCCUGAGAGGGUGACAGGCCACAUUGGGACUGAGAUACGGCCCAGACUCGUACGGGAGGCAGCAGUGGGGAAUAUUGCACAAUGGGCGGAAGCCUAGUGCAGCAACGCCGCGUGCGGGAUGACGGCCUUCGGGUUGUAAACCGCUUUCGCCUGUGACGAAGCGUGAGUGACGGUAAUGGGUAAAGAAGCACCGGCUAACUACGUG
rnacentral:rRNA from 1 species